rnacentral:rRNA from 1 species
GGCUUCCUACGGGGGGCAGCAGUGAGGAAUAUUGGUCAAUGGACGCAAGUCUGAACCAGCCAUGCCGCGUGCAGGAUGACGGCUCCAUGAGUUGUAAACUGCUUUUGUACGAGGGUAAACCCCGAUACGUGUAUCGGGUUGAAAGUAUCGUACGAAUAAGGAUCGGCUAACUCCGUGCCAGCAGCCGCGGUAAUACGGAGGAUCCGAGCGUUAUCCGGAUUUAUUGGGUUUAAAGGGUGCGCAGGCGGAAGAUCAAGUCAGCGGUAAAAUUGAGAGGCUCAACCUCUUCGAGCCGUUGAAACUGG